rnacentral:rRNA from 1 species
GACGAACGCUGGCGGCGUGCCUAAUACAUGCAAGUCGAACGCUUCUUUCCUCCCGAGUGCUUGCACUCAAUUGGAAAGAGGAGUGGCGGACGGGUGAGUAACACGUGGGUAGCCUACCCAUCAGAGGGGGAUGACACUUGGAAACAGGUGCUAAUACCGCAUAACAGUUUAUGCCGCAUGGCAUAAGAGUGAAAGGCGCUUUCGGGUGUCGCUGAUGGAUGGACCCGCGGUGCAUUAGCUAGUUGGUGAGGUAACGGCUCACCAAGGCCACGAUGCAUAGCCGACCUGAGAGGGUGAUCGGCCACACUGGGACUGAGACACGGCCCAGACUCCUACGGGAGGCAGCAGUAGGGAAUCUUCGGCAAUGGACGAAAGUCUGACCGAGCAACGCCGCGUGAGUGAAGAAGGUUUUCGGAUCGUAAAACUCUGUUGUUAGAGAAGAACAAGGACGUUAGUAACUGAACGUCCCCUGACGGUAUCUAACCAGAAAGCCACGGCUAACUACGUG